UUUUUAGAUUCCUAUAAGAUAUUAAUUAAUAUUAUUUCCAAAACUACGUUGAUGAAGUUUACAAGAUUGUUCUAUAUAUAAAACACCCAAGAAAAGAUAUGUUUAUUGGAAGCUUGGAAGUAUUUAUGGGAGUCCUGAUGGGUUUCCGCAAGGAAAAAUGAAUUGGUAAAUCUCCGUCUCUUUUAAUGAAAUCACCUUUUCUCUUAAGAUUCUUUUUCUUCUAUGAAAUACUGAAAAUGGCGUAAAGGAUGAACCGCAUUCAAUAUGGGAUUUUGGGGAUUGAGAAUUAGUAUUCAAGUGGAAGGCAUAUUGGCGGGUAUGCGAGUUUAGAGGCUGCUACCGUAAUUUCAGAGAUGCUACCGUACUUUAGAGGAGGUUUAUGGGAGUUUGAAACACUUGCUUCCAUCAGGUUGUGGAAGAAUUGUCAUUCUGAGAUCAUUUUUCCUGCAAGUGAGCACCCGACUUGAUUGUUGUGGAUGAGGGAGAGACGAGGAGGUUUAUGGGAGUUUGAAACACUUGCUUCCAUUAGGUUGUGGAAGAAUUGUCAUUCUGAGAUCAUUUUUUCCUGCAAGUGAGCACCGGACUUGAUUGUUGUGGAUGAGGGAGAGACGUCACGCCUUGGUAACAAUAAUGACUAUAUGACUUUUUCUUUUUGUAUUCUAAUAAAGCUUUCCUAUGCUCCAAACGGUCAAAACGUAUCUUGCAUAGGGGAUUAAUACUAAACUGAGAACCUUGCAAGUCCUAAAACUGUGUUACUGAUUUUAGUUUGUCUAUACUCUAUUACCUGCAGAGUUCAUACCGUCCAUCCUGUAAGAUAUCGUGUACAGGGGGAUUAAUGUUCUUUUUUUCCUUUUUUAUGGUUGAGUAAAUAUUGUGAUACCCAACAUAAGUUUAGGUUGAUUCCGAAAUUUGGCAUCAACUUAAACUUAUGCGAAGACGAUCUCUUUCCUGUUUACAAGUUCAAUGUUGCACCUUAAAAGCUCAAAUGCACUCUUUGAAGAAAUGCUAACCAUACUUCGUAAACAAAAUACUGAGCUUAGGCUGGCUUAGAUUCAGCCAUGAUACCACUAUACAUUUUAUUUUAUUUUAGGUUCAGGGUUUACUAGAGAAACUGAAAGAUAUGGAAAUAAGUAUAUACUGCUAAUAUCUCUUUAAACAUGUAAGUUGACUACUUGAAACUGUACCUGGAAGCUAACCAUAUUACGUACUCAAAUCGAAAGUUCAAGUAUAAUUUUGUUGAUACUCACAUAUUGGAGGAACACAUAAAAUGAAAUCUAGAAGUACAUCACCUACGGAUAUUGCAAAUAUUGCAAGUACUUUUAUACAUUUAUUGCUGAUUUAUUAAAAAAAAAGUCAAUUUAUUAUAUUUCUAAUAUGAUUCAUGUACUUCUCGCUGCCUCCAUUAUUUAUGGUAUUUGCUUAUGGUGGAGUUACGUCUGGACUGGAAGCGCAGUUAGAGUAAGGUUUGUGACAUUUUUUUUUUUGAGAUCAUUGUCGUAACCUGCGCGAAUAGUGCAGGAUUAUCCGUGCUUUUUUGGUUGAGGAGCAGAAGAUUGUCAAAAUAUUUUUGAAGAUCCAAAAACAGAAGCAGAACCUUGCUGGAAAGAGCUAGGUUUAGCUCGAUUGAAUCGUUUCUUUUGCAGUUAUAGGUUAAUUAUGGUUCUUUGUGUUUGUCAAGACCAUGACUUUGUACAGGAUGGCAUCCAAGGUUCGACAAUAAACUGGUUUGACCGAUGCCCGUCAUUUAAUCUCUUCUUUUGUAUGUGCUUAU